rnacentral:tRNA from 1 species
AGGGAUAUAGCUCAGUGGCAGAGCACUUGCCUAGGAUAUACAAGGUCUUGGGUUCCAUCCCCAGUAUUUCCA